GGUCAAUGAUGAGCAGUAAAAGGUCUGAUUACCCACAGUCCUCUCCUGCUGCCCUCUGGCUCCCAGCAGCCCUUGCUCUCUGCUCCCAUCAUGCUCUAGUGGUGCAGUGGUGGUCCCAGCAGCUGCUGACAGACAGGAUGUGACAUCACAGCGUGGGCCUGUACAGAGCUCCUGCAGGCCCACAGUGAUUGACAUCCCACAGAACCAAUCAGCACGGAGCGUCAGGCUGAGGGGGCGGGGCCUGAGUGCUGAUCUCACUCUUCUACUGAGACU